GAUGAACGCUGGCGGCGUGCCUAAUACAUGCAAGUCGAGCGAACAGACGAGGAGCUUGCUCCUCUGACGUUAGCGGCGGACGGGUGAGUAACACGUGGAUAACCUACCUAUAAGACUGGGAUAACUUCGGGAAACCGUAGCUAAUACCGGAUAAUAUUUUGAACCGCAUGGUUCAAUAGUGAAAGACGGUUUUGCUGUCACUUAUAGAUGGAUCCGCGCUGCAUUAGCUAGUUGGUAAGGUAACGGCUUACCAAGGCAACGAUGCGUAGCCGACCUGAGAGGGUGAUCGGCCACACUGGAACUGAGACAAGGUCCAGACUCCUACGGGAGGCAGCAGUAGGGAAUCUUCCGCAAAGGGCGAAAGCCUGACGGAGCAACGCCGCGUGAGUGAUGAAGGUCUUCGGAUCGUAAAACUCUGUUAUUAGGGAAGAACAAAUGUGUAAGUAACUGUGCACAUCUUGACGGUACCUAAUCAGAAAGCCACGGCUAACUACGUG
rnacentral:rRNA from 1 species